rnacentral:rRNA from 1 species
AGAGGAUGAUCCGCCACACUGGUACUGAGACACGGACCAGACUCCUACGGGAGGCAGCAGUGAGGAAUAUUGCACAAUGGGGGAAACCCUGAUGCAGCAACGCCGCGUGGAGGAUGACGCAUUUCGGUGUGUAAACUCCUUUUAUAAGAGAAGAAAAUGACGGUAUCUUAUGAAUAAGCACCGGCUAACUCCGUGCCAGCAGCCGCGGUAAUACGGAGGGUGCAAGCGUUACUCGGAAUCACUGGGCGUAAAGGACGCUUAGGCGGGUUAUCAAGUCAGGUAUGAAAUCCAAUGGCUCAACCAUUGAACUGCACUUGAAACUGGUAACCUAGAGUAUGGGAGGGGGAGAUGGAAUUAGUGGUGUAGGGGUAAAAUCCGUAGAUAUCACUAGGAAUACCGAAAGCGGAGGCGAUCUCCUGGAACAUUACUGACGCUGAGGCGUGAAAGCGUGGGGAGCAAACAGGAUUAGAUACCCUGGUAGUCCACGCCCUAAACGAUGAAUGCUAGUCGUCGGAACGCUUGUCGUUUCGGUGAUGCAGUUAACACAUUAAGCAUUCCGCCUGGGGAGUACGGUCGCAAGAUUAAAACUCAAAGGAAUAGACGGGGACCCGCACAAGUGGUGGAGCAUGUGGUUUAAUUCGAAAAUACGCGAAGAACCUUACCUGGCCUUGACAUCCUGAUAACUUAGUAGAGAUACUUUGGUGCUAGCUUGCUAGAAAUCAGUGACAGGUGCUGCACGGCUGUCGUCAGCUCGUGUCGUGAGAUGUUGGGUUAAGUCCCGCAACGAGCGCAACCCUCGUCCUUAGUUGCUAACAGUUCGGCUGAGCACUCUAAGGAGACUGCCUUCGCAAGGAGGAGGAAGGUGAGGACGACGUCAAGUCAUCAUGGCCCUUACGGCCAGGGCUACACACGUGCUACAAUGGGGCGUACAGAGAGUUGCAAUACCGCGAGGUGGAGCCAAUCUCACAAAGCGUCUCUCAGUUCGGAUUGUUCUCUGCAACUCGAGAACAUGAAGCUGGAAUCACUAGUAAUCGUAGAUCAGCUAUGCUACGGUGAAUACGUUCCCGGGUCUUGUACUCACCGCCCGUCACACCAUGGGAGUUGAUUUCACCCGAAAUCGGGAUGCCUUGCUACCGCUUACGGUGGAAUUAGCGACUGGGGUGAAGUCGUAACAAGGUAACCGUAGGAG